rnacentral:lncRNA from 1 species
AUCAUUACCACGUGAAAUCAAGGAUUAUGUUGGAUAAGAAAAAUAAGGCUCUAAUCCCUAUGGGCUGUGACUGUGAGGUGGGUUGUUUAAUUAUUUAGAGGAUGGAUUUUAUUUUCAAAUCCGUCCCUUGAAUUUAUAAAUGAGUCGAUUGUUUUUGUUUUUUCUUUUUUUUUUUUUUUUUUUUUUUUUGCUUUUCUUUAAGAAGGGUUAAUAAUAGUUCUUCAUUUUCUAUUUGUGUGAUUCAAACCCCCAACCUAUUGAUAGGAGGGGAAACGUCUUAUCAACUAAAUUGCACUUUAUUGUCUCGAGAAUACGAGUUUCCAUUGUUCCGUCUACAAAAUUUAUAAAUGAGUCGAUGAGAUGAUCCUUUAUGUAUUUUUCUUGAAGCUCAAAUAUUCAUUUACUCAUAUACUAU